AUACGUAGGGUGCAAGCGUUAAUCGGAAUUACUGGGCGUAAAGCGUGCGCAGGCGGUUUUGUAAGACAGUGGUGAAAUCCCCGGGCUCAACCUGGGAACUGCCAUUGUGACUGCAAGGCUGGAGUGCGGCAGAGGGGGGUGGAAUUCCGCGUGUAGCAGUGAAAUGCGUAGAUAUGCGGAGGAACACCGAUGGCGAAGGCAAUCCCCUGGGCCUGCACUGACGCUCAUGCACGAAAGCGUGGGGAGCAAACAGGAUUAGAUACCCUGGUAGUCCACGCCCUAAACGAUGUCAACUGGUUGUUGGGGAUUUAUUUUCUCAGUAACGAAGCUAACGCGUGAAGUUGACCGCCUGGGGAGUACGGCCGCAAGGUUAAAACUCAAAGGAAUUGACGGGG
rnacentral:rRNA from 1 species